rnacentral:other from 1 species
CAGCAGUUAACCUGAACGGCUUGAUUAUCCCUGAUGAUCAAUUGGUUAAUUUGUUGCGAUGUUGUGUUUGCAUUAACUCGAAAUUCGAGUUGGUAGAUUCGUCUGCCACCAUGCCUUAGGUUUAACCUACCUGUGGCAUACUUCCUGUAUUUUUUUUGACCUGUCAGUCAAAUUUUAACACCGCCUUCAUGGCGGUGUUUUUUUAU